rnacentral:lncRNA from 1 species
AAAUUCUUACUUAAUACACACAACUUACACAACUAAAGUAGAAAAAAAAUAUCCAGAAACAAAAAGUACUAUCAACAACCUUAAUAUAAUUUAUGUACUCUCAAUAGUAUAAGAAACAAAUUAAAAAGACAAACAAACAAUAAGUUUCAGUAACACAUCAAACAACACCACGAACUAUAUCAAUCACAUUACUAACCCAGUUUAGUCAUUCAUAACUGGAGAACAAUACCUACACAGUUCAUCAUCACAACUCUAACCCUAUAACAAUAAAAAAAACUUGAAAAACGAUGAUCAACCCAAAACGCAAAAUUCACAACUACAAUAACCCUAGCA